UAAGUACACAGCGCCUUCCCUCCCCAUUGUCUUCUCACACAGCGUCUUCCUCAUCCAGAUGCGAUGACCGGCGCGGACCGCCCCCUCCCCUUUGCCUCCCAGUCCCACAAACCACGCUGCUGCCGCAAGUCAUGUCCACCUGCUCUGCCUCCCUGCCGCUACCGCGAUGACUGCUUUUCCCCUGCUUACCCACCACCGUGGGCGCGAGAAUCCGCCGCCGGUGGCGCCGCCUCCGUGUCGCUCCUCCACCCACGGCGUGACGCGCUCGAGCAUGGUGUGCUGCCCAUUCCGAAGCUCGAGGAGGUACUGGAUAGCCGUCGGAUACCAGGUGUUCCUGGCGCUUGGCAUGCUCACGACCCUGAGCUAGGCUGACGGUGGCACAGGCCCGGACCUUGUCUCCACCGGAUCCGCGGCGGCGUCCACCGCGUGCGUUGGAGGGCCCAACAGUGCCCGAGCGCCGGCCUCCUCCUCCUUCCCGACAUGCUAUUCUGAAGUUGCCAACACAUGGCAUCUCAUCAACAAUUUGCAGAAAGGCCGCCAUUACUUGGCGCACGAUUAAGGGCAUUGGCAUACUCCUAGACUGUGCUCGAUGGUACCAACCCGGAUUCAGGAAUAUUCAGCUCGUUCAUCAGUUGAUCUGCAGUCCACCAAAGUAUGCUAGAAGUAUUUUGAGAAUUUUUUUGAGAUAGGCAUGGAUCUGUCAGAGAGGAGUGCUAUGUAAUCUCUCACAUCAAAGAGGAGAUUUCUGAGGCACCUUGUUGACUGCUUCUUGAGCUCUCGGGAUUGGUGGCGGCGCUUUAAAAUGUCAUCUUUAUUUUUUGCAUACCGUUCCCUAUCCAUCUGCCUUUUGAGCUCUUUGGGGUCUGCAUAUACUACCUCUUUAGGAAAAAAAUCAUAUGAGCCUGAAACAGAUCUUUAUAUAUAUGAUGUUUUAGGUUGAUGUUACAUACCUUUGGACUCAUUGUCCAUACUUAACAAAGAUUUUCCACAUAAUAAUUGUGAUGAAUCAGAGAUAGUAGUCAUCAUAGAUGCCCCGCUUUGCUGAACACUUGGAUCCAUACCUACAAUUACAUUCUCGACCAAGAAAAUCAGAAUUCCGUAUAUAAUUUUCGAAUACAGAAACAUAUUAGAAAACAUUACCUCCAGCAGGUGCUCUGUACUGUUGUUGGGUGACAUCGAUUUGCCCAGUAGUUUGAGUAUCACAUAAGGUGUUUUCUGUAAUCACCGGGUCCGUUGGCUUCUUUUUAAAAUCCCAUGCUUGGCGCCGGCGAUUUGAAAUCUCAUCUUUAUUUUUUGCAUACCUAUCUCUGUCCCUCUGCCUUUUGACAUCCUUAGGAUCUGCAGCUGUAUAAUUGAUCACAAUGCCGUUGUACAAAUGACAUAUUUAGGUUCAUGUUAUUUACCUUGUACUUUCCUGUUAGUUAUGUCCUGAAAUGGAUGGUGGCUAGAAGAUGACAUUAUGAUCUUCCUCUGUAUCAAAAGUAACUAACAAUUACUUGAACAAUUACGGCUCUGGUAUAAAUUAUAUUCAGAAAAUAUUGACCAUGGAAAACCCAGAAUUAGCACUAAUACGAAAAUACAUGAUACAUAAGAAAAUAGAUGUCAUCGUUGGCAGUAAGUGUCAGAAAUGAUUUGAAUUAACUCUAUUCAGUUUUUACAAUUGAAGUACAUUUAUAUUCUUGACAUUGACUCAUUUAACUUGGUGCUUAAUGGAGCUCCUUGCACCUGGAGCUUGUUUCUUCGAAGAGAGCGCCUAGAUGCUGCAAAUGAAAUGUUGCUUAGACAGAAUUCAAGUUGAGGGCAAAAAUGGGGAUCGGUAUCACAUUUGGGUUGGUGACUCAUGAGUCAUGACCAGAUAUUAUACACUCAGAAGCUUAAUGUGUAUUUCUAUACUUUCUACGACUUGUCCGGGUUGAGAGCAGUCCCAUUAUUUACUCCUUUCUUGUUAAUUAUCUUGAUUGGAGCAGCUUAUGCAAAGAUUUCUUCCUCCUGUGAUUUUUUCACUCAGGUUAGCUAAAAGUUGUUGUAGCUUAUAUUCGUACUGUUUGGUCUCAGGUUACCUUCUUCAGGCAGUUCUUCACAUCAGUCACCAAGGUGGACUACCUCACCUUGCACAUGGGCUUCAUCAACGUACUAACCAACCAUCUCCUCUCCGCCAUUACUAUUACCAUUCUAACAUUGCCAUCAUUAUCAUGUUCAAGCCGGCAGGAAACCAAAUUAAGAGAAGGAUGACAGCAUGGUUCAAGCACAAAAACCUGUUUUGAAAUCAAAAUCUGCAAGCUUGCCAUUUCACCUUCUGUGAAGCUCUGAUGCUAGCCCAACCCAAGUGUUGUAUGUUUGAGUGGCAGCCAAGGCAGCCAGAUUUGUAAAUUCAAAAGAGAAGCUGCAGGACACUCCCUGGUUCCGCCCUGGGCGCCUGUUCGAUUCGUGGACGGGUGGCCAAAGACAACGGCGGAGGGCACAGCAGUGGCGGUGUUUGGCAGGCGGCGGCCGGCGGCCGUCGGUGCAGAGCAGACGCCCGGCGGUGCAGAGCAGGCGCCCUGCGGUGCAGUGGUGCUUGUCGUUCGGGACAGACGGAUGGCGCGGUGGUUUUACUUCGCGGCCUGGCACAACAAUGGCGUUGAUCGGCGGCCGCCAGCCGGCGGUGCAGAGUGGGUUUUCGUGUGCCUUAGUAGCGUGGCGGCGGCAGGCCGGUGUGGACGGCGACGGAGGCGUCGUCGGCCGGUGGUGUGGACGGGACGGAGGCGUGGCAUCUUUCUUCUGAUCGGUCGUGGGAUAGAGCAGUUACGCUCUGUAUUUUUUUAUUCUUUCUUCUGCUUCUGAUCGGUCAGUCCGCCAGGGAGUGUCCGCCCUUGUUUCUAUCGUUGGAUGGAUGAUCUAUGGCUGAGAUCGUUUGGAUCACCACCCUCUCUCCCUUUUUAUAUUAGUGGAGAUAAGAUACAUAAGUACAUAUUCAAUACCACAAUAGUUUUUAGACUAUU